rnacentral:rRNA from 1 species
CCUACGGGUGGCAGCAGUGAGGAAUAUUGGUCAAUGGACGCAAGUCUGAACCAGCCAAGCCGCGUGCAGGAUGACUGCCCUAUGGGUUGUAAACUUCUUUUGUACGGGGGUAAACCCCGACACGUGUGGCUGUUUGAGAGUAUCUUACGAAUAAGGAUCGGCUAACUCCGUGCCAGCAGCCGCGGUAAUACGGAGGAUCCGAGCGUUAUCCGGAUUUAUUGGGUUUAAAGGGUGCGUAGGCGGGUUGAUAAGUUAGAGGUGAAAUGUCGGGGCUCAACCCCGAAACUGCCUUUAAUACUGUUGGACUAGAGAAUAGUUGAGGUAGGCGGAAUGCAUGGUGUAGCGGUGAAAUGCUUAGAGAUCAUACAGAACACCGAUUGCGAAGGCAGCUUACCAAACUAUAACUGACGUUGAGGCACGAAAGCGUGGGUAGCAAACAGGAUUAGAUACCCCUGUAGUC